rnacentral:rRNA from 1 species
GGGGAAUUUUCCGCAAUGGGCGAAAGCCUGACGGAGCAAUACCGCGUGAGGGAUGACGGCCUAUGGGUUGUAAACCUCUUUUCUCAGGGAGGAAUCAAUGACGUGUACCUGAGGAAUAAGCAUCGGCUAACUCCGUGCCAGCAGCCGCGGUAAGACGGAGGAUGCAAGUGUUAUCCGGAAUCACUGGGCGUAAAGCGUCUGUAGGUGGUCCAAUAAGUCAACUGUUAAAUCUUGAGGCUCAACCUCAAAAUCGCAGUCGAAACUAUUAGACUAGAGUAUAGUAGGGGUAAAGGGAAUUUCCAGUGGAGCGGUGAAAUGCGUAGAGAUUGGAAAGAACACCGAUGGCGAAGGCACUUUACUGGGCUAUUACUAACACUGAGAGACGAAAGCUAGGGUAGCAAAUGGGAUUAAUACCCCAGUAGUC